CAGUCGCCGCGGUAAUACGGAGGGGGCUAGCGUUGUUCGGAAUUACUGGGCGUAAAGCGCACGUAGGCGGCUUGGUAAGUUAGAGGUGAAAGCCCAGGGCUCAACCCUGGAAUUGCCUUUAAGACUGCCGAGCUAGUAGGUGAGGGAGGCGAGUGGAAUUCCGAGUGUAGAGGUGAAAUUCGUAGAUAUUCGGAAGAACACCAGUGGCGAAGGCGGCUCACUGGCUCAUUCUAGACGCUGAGGUGCGAAAGCGUGGGGAGCAAACAGGAUUAGAUACCCGUGUAGUCCCUGUCUCUUAUAC
rnacentral:rRNA from 1 species